rnacentral:rRNA from 1 species
GUUAGGAAUAUUCGUCAAUGGGGGAAACCCUGAACGAGCAAUGCCGCGUGAGUGAUGACGGUCUUUAUGAUUGUAAAACUCUGUUGUAUGGGAAGAACACUAGAUAUAGGAAAUGAUAUCUAGCUGACGGUACCAUGCCAGAAAGCCCCGGCUAACUACGUGCCAGCAGCCGCGGUAAUACGUAGGGGGCGAGCGUUAUCCGGAUUUAUUGGGCGUAAAGCGUGUGUAGGCGGUUUAUUAAGUAUAAGAUUAAAGCCUGGGGCUUAACUCCAGUUCGUCUUAUAAACUGGUAGACUUGAGUGUGGUAGAGGCAAAUGGAAUUUCUAGUGUAGCGGUAAAAUGCGUAGAUAUUAGAAGGAACACCGGUGGCGAAGGCGAUUUGCUGGGCCAUUACUGACGCUGAGACACGAAAGCGUGGGGAGCGAAUAGGAUUAGAUACCCCAGUAGUCC